GUAAAUCUCCACUGUCUCUAGAUGAAGCAGAGAGGGACUAAGGGAAGCCAUCUCAGACGCCACCGACUCAUACAUAUAAGCAUACUGCAAAAAGAAAGAAUUAAUUUUGUAACACUCCCAUAAAUCCCCAAUCCAAUUCGAAUGUAAAGACAGACCAAACCUGACGAACAAUUAACAUCUCCAGCUUAGGAAACAUGCCAAGAACAGCAAGAAUAUCAGUCACUCGGUAGCUAUAAAAUUCUAGAUUUAGAAAGUCAGCAUUCGGGAAUUGAACAAGCAUGUCGUUCUCCUUCAUGUCAACAAGAAACUGCAAGUAACAACAUGAGUUCAUUUGUCUUCAAAUUAAAUCCCACAAAUGAAAAAAAUUAACCAUUGUAUGAAAUGAAACCUGAAUGCUCCAAUAUUCUAACGAGACAUUCUCAACAUGGCGGAUGCUUCGAAAAACUUGAUGGAACAUUUCAAGAGGCCGCAUGUCCUCACGAUCAAUUUCUCCAAAUUCACCACUUAAAUCUUUAAAAGAAAGAGUUGCAGUAAUCAAAGAAGGGACAUACAGCAAACAACCCCCA
rnacentral:lncRNA from 1 species